CACGCCGUAAACGCUGAUUACUAGGUGUAGGGGGUAUAGACUCCCUCUGUGCCGCAGUUAACGCAUUAAGUAAUCCACCUGGGGAGUACGGCCGCAAGGUUAAAACUCAAAGGAAUUGACGGGGACCCGCACAAGCAGCGGAGCAUGUGGUUUAAUUCGAAGCAACGCGAAGAACCUUACCAGGUCUUGACAUCCUUUGCACGUUUUAGAGAUAGAACAUUCCCUUCGGGGACAAAGAGACAGGUGG
rnacentral:rRNA from 1 species